AGUCUGGUUUAGCAUGAUCGGAAAAUAACGUUAAUUAAGUUUUAAUUUAAGGUAAAAUGAAAAAGAAUUAAAACAGAGUUAUAAUAGUAACCGUGAGCCUACUAAUUAGCAAAUACGAUUUUCUCUCCAUUAUAUAAACCAUUUGCCUUUGUUUCAAUGAAAUAAGUAACCACUGCUUGAUCUCAUUCCCUAUCCUCCAAAUUACAAAUCUGUCAUCAUCACCUUCUCGUUGUCGAUGGAGCCAAUGCAAUCUCCG
rnacentral:lncRNA from 1 species